UCCCCAUCCUCCAUCUCAUUCCUCUAGUCCUCUCAAGCCUCUGAGGUUUUCAGUUAUAUACCCACACCAAGCAGCAACUCUCUGGCCAAGGCAAGGUCACCUAGGCUUGAAUUCUUACCGGGUCAUCAAGGCAGGAAAAAAAAGAAACAAACAAAAGACCAUGACCAUGACAUGCUGGAAAAGCUUUCCAAAUUCCCAAAUGAAGCACGGACAUGUCAGUCUUUUAAGCUGUAUCCCCCACAAACUCUGGGUUCAAAAUAAAUGAGUGCGCCUUCCUCUGAGACUCAAA